rnacentral:rRNA from 1 species
GACGUAGGGCGCGAGCGUUGUCCGGAUUUAUUGGGCGUAAAGAGCUCGUAGGCGGCUCGUUGCGUCAACCGUGAAAAACCCCGGGGGCUUAACUUCGGGCUUGCGGUUGAUACGGGCGGGCUGGAGUUCGGUAGGGGGAGACUGGAAUUCCUGGUGUAGCGGUGAAAAUGCGCAGAUAUCAGGGAGGAACACCCGGUGGGCGAAAGGCGGGGUCUCUGGGGCCAUACUGACGUGAGGAGCGAAAAGCGUGGGGGAGCAACGGA